rnacentral:rRNA from 1 species
GAUGAACGCUGGCGGCGUGCCUAAUACAUGCAAGUCGAGCGAACGGACGAGAAUCUUGCUUCGCUGAUGUUAGCGGCGGACGGGUGAGUAACACGUGGAUAACCUACCUAUAAGACUGGGAUAACUUGGGGAAACCGGAGCUAAUACCGGAGGAUAUUUUGAACCGCAGGGUUCAAAAGUGAAAGACGGUCUUGCUGUCACUUAUAGAUGGAUCCGCGCUGCAUUAGCUAGUUGGUAAGGUAACGGCUUACCAAGGCAACGAUGCAUAGCCGACCUGAGAGGGUGAUCGGCCACACUGGAACUGAGACACGGUCCAGACUCCUACGGGAGGCAGCAGUAGGGAAUCUUCCGCAAUGGGCGAAAGCCCGACGGAGCAACGCCGCGUGAGUGAUGAAGGUCUUCGGAUCGUAAAACUCUGUUAUUAGGGAAGAACAUAUGUGUAAGUAACUGUGCACAUCUUGACGGUACCUAAUCAGAAAGCCACGGCUAACUACGUG